GCAUCUUUGGACUUCAAGUACAGCACACUUCACUUUCAUCAAGUAUUACUGUACUGUUCUCAGAUAACCAGUGAUGCAUUUGAUUCCCACUCAAGCUGCCCAAAAAGUCAGUGAUGAGAAAGUUUGGCCAUUAGCUUGGGUACUGCAAAUGCAAGAAAAUCACAGGAAGUUCGUAGAUCCUCAACCUACUGGAUGUUUUAUGCUCAAAGAACAUGAGCUUCUAUUUCUAUGUCUAUUCAAACAAAUUAAGCUAUAGACUCCAGUUCCUGCAGCUGGAGCUAUCUUAUGGCUUUGUAACUUCUUUUUGCUUCUCUUAGUUUAAAGUCUUGUUGUGAGGGUGGAUUGGACCAAAGGACCUUCUACUCCCCUCAGAAACACCUCGCCAAGAAUAGAGAAAGACUUCUCUAUCAUUUUCCUAAAAACUAAAUGAGCACUUGAUGCUGAGACUAGAAACAUUAUUUUUACUGUUCUAUCCCAAUUAAUAUACUCUUGUCUUGCCUGGUAGUGAAAUC
rnacentral:lncRNA from 1 species